AACUGGAGACUCGGCAUGCAAAGAUAGAUCACAGUUUCCAUGUUGUCAGAGAUUUUGCAGUUUGAAACAAAGUGAUCAUGGCAUGAUGAGGACAGCCCCUGAAGGUAACUUCCAUACUGAUUCUACUGCAGAAGAAAUAUUUUUUCAAAACCAAGCCGAGGUGUUGUUUGGAAAGAGAGAUUGAUGGUGGCUCACUUACAGAGAAUAACUAUGGGGCAUAUCUUCAUGACUUUGGCUCAUCACCAACUACCAGUCUUCCUGCCCUGUCCGUCUCCUCACAAAUCUACUGUCCACCAUAGUCUGCCCAGCUCACUGCUCUUCCUUUUUUAUUUUUUUUUCAGAAUUGGCAGAGUCUCAGAGCUUCAGACUUUUCUCAUUAAACUCUACUUUGUAUAUCAUAGGAUUGUUAUAAUAAGAAAACAAUAAAAUGCAGACAAAAGA